GACGAACGCUGGCGGCGUGCUUAACACAUGCAAGUCGAACGGAAAGGCCCUGCUUUUGUGGGGUGCUCGAGUGGCGAACGGGUGAGUAACACGUGAGUAACCUGCCCUUGACUUUGGGAUAACUUCAGGAAACUGGGGCUAAUACCGGAUAGGAGCUCCUGCUGCAUGGUGGGGGUUGGAAAGUUUCGGCGGUUGGGGAUGGACUCGCGGCUUAUCAGCUUGUUGGUGGGGUAGUGGCUUACCAAGGCUUUGACGGGUAGCCGGCCUGAGAGGGUGACCGGCCAAGUUGGGACGGGGAUAGGGCCGGGACCCCUACGGGGGGCGGGGGGGGGGAAUGUUACACAGGGGGCGGGGGCCUGAUGCGGCACCGCCGCGUGGGGGAUGAGGGCCUUGGGUUUGUAAACCGUUUCCGCUUGAGACGAGGCGUGAGUGACGGUAAUGGGUAAAGAAGCACCGGCUAACUCCGUG
rnacentral:rRNA from 1 species